ACGCGAAGACCUGACGGCAGCAGUACCACCGUGAGGGAUGAAGGAUUUUGGUCUGUAAACCUCUUUUCUCAAGAAAGAAGUUCUGACGGUACUUGAGGAAUAAGCAUCGGCUAACUCCGUGCCAGCAGCCGCGGUAAUACGGGGGAUGCAAGCGUUAUCCGGAAUCAUUGGGCGUAAAGCGCCUGUAGGUUGUCUAAUAAGUCUGUUGUUAAAGACCAGGGCUUAACCCUGGGAAAGCGAUGGAAACUACUAGGCUUGAGUAUGGUAGGGGUAGAGGGAAUUUCUAGUGUAGCGGUGAAAUGCGUAGAUAUUAGAAAGAACACCGGUGGCGAAAGCGCUCUACUGGGCCAUUACUGACACUGAGAGGCGAAAGCUAGGGGAGCAAAAGGGAUUAGAUACCCCUGUAGUCCUAGCCGUAAACGAUGGAUACUAGGUGUUGUAUUAUUAUACAGUAUCGUAGCUAACGCGUUAAGUAUCCCGCCUGGGGAGUACGCUCGCAAGGGUGAAACUCAAAGGAAUUGACGGG
rnacentral:rRNA from 1 species